AUUUAGAUAGUUUAAGGAAAAAUUUAAGUUUGUGGAACUUAAGAAGCUUGUUGGCUC
rnacentral:tRNA from 1 species